UUUAUUUGGAAAGAUUAUGCAGUUCAAUUUCUUGAUAUCUAGGAAUUAGAGUUAGAUACAGAUUUUCUUAUGAAGUUUCAUAUUUUUAAGAGUUUCCUAUUCUUAGAGAGUUAAUUACUAUUUUUAAGCUACACAAUUGUGUAUAUAAACUCAGGUUGUAACCUGAUUUAGUGAUGAUAAAUUUCAUUCUUCUCUUAUGAUUUUGGUCAUGAUAUCAGAGCUAUUGGCUCUUUCUUGAUAAACUCUGAAUUUUUUCUGUUCUUUUCUC
rnacentral:lncRNA from 1 species